rnacentral:rRNA from 1 species
CCCUUAGAUGUUCUGGGCCGCACGCGCGCUACACUGAAGGAAUCAGCGUGGCUUUCUCCCUGGUCCGAAAGGACCGGGAAACCCGUUGAAUCUCCUUCGUGAUAGGGAUUGGGGCUUGAAAUUGUUCCCCAUGAACGAGGAAUUCCCAGUAAGCGCGAGUCAUAAGCUCGCGUUGAUUACGUCCCUGCCCUUUGUACACACCGCCCGUCGCUCCUACCGAUUGAAUGGUCCGGUGAAGCCUCGAGAUUGUGGCCAGCUCGCUUUAUUGGGAGUUGGUUGCGAGAACUUGUCUAAACCUUAUCAUUUAGAGGAAGGUGAAGUCGUAACA